rnacentral:misc_RNA from 1 species
GAUGAAGAACGCAGCGAAAUGCGAUAAGUAAUGUGAAUUGCAGAAUUCAGUGAAUCAUCGAAUCUUUGAACGCACAUUGCGCCCGCCAGUAUUCUGGCAGGCAUGCCUGUUCGAGCGUCAUUACAACCCUCAGGCCCCCGGGCCUGGCGUUGGGGAUCGGCGGAAGCCCCCUGCGGGCACAACGCCGUCCCCCAAAUACAGUGGCGGUCCCGCCGCAGCUUCCAUUGCGUAGUAGCUAACACCUCGCAACUGGAGAGCGGCGCGGCCACGCCGUAAAACACCCAACUUCUGAAUGUUGACCUCGAAUCAGGUAGGAAUACCCGCUGAACUUAAGCAUAUCAAUAAGCGGAGGA